rnacentral:tRNA from 2 species
GGCCCUAUCGUCUAGUCUGGUCUAGGACACCAGGUUUUCAUCCUGGUAACCCGGGUUCGAAUCCCGGUGGGGCUACCA